AAGCGUAUAGGUACUGGGUGUGCUCUCAACUCUUUCCUUACUACGAGAAUGGGGAGAGGGUGAAGCCUUGCCGAAGUUUCUGCCAUGCUGUGGAGCAGAAGUGUCCUUACUUCCUGCCCAAGUAUAAACCUGUGGCCGGAGAACCAACCUUCCUCUGUCAAGACCCAAACAUCGGCGAGUUGGCGGAGCAGGAGUCUUCGUACGGCAGCGACUCGUGUUGUUACUACCCGUGCUCCCACGAAGAACGGAUGGGCCAUCUGCUGGAGUCCUACGACCAGCUGCCUUCCCCGACCCUCUGCUCCAAACCCACCUGCAACUUCACCAGCCCCGCCACCACCUCCACCAUCACUACCGCCUCCACCUCCACCACCUCCUCCGCCGCUACCGCCUCCGCCGCCGCCCCCAGUGCCGGCGGGAGCCUGUCGCCCCUCGCUCCUGACCCGUCAGAGGCCAACUUAAAGUGUCUUUCAGCCACGGAUAAUUGUUCACUUCCCUCUGGUCCCGGCCCCACCCCCCCGUUAAGCAGCUCCGGCUGCCCCUUUGUACUGAGAAAACAUUGUUGGACUCCUAAAGCGUUAUAUAUAUUGUUGUUAUAUCUAGUGCGGACUGAUCUCUGGCUGCCGAGGGGGUUCACCUAGUGACUAACGUCCAUGUUGAGUGUUGUGGGGAGACUGCGCGUUCCCCUCUUCCCUCCCCCACCCCCCAUGCCCCACGCCCUCCUCCCCCUGCCCCCCCUCCCCUCCUUGCCCCUCACACACACCCAGCCUCUCUCUCCUUCCCUCACGUCAUCACUCAUCGCGUCGCCCCGCCACUCCGCGCCUCACUCACCCGCCUGUCCCUCCCGACUCAUGAGUUACCUUCCACUCACUGAGCUGGUGCCUCAAGCGGCCUCGCCUACACUCCUCCUCCUCCUCUUCCUUCUUCCUCCUCCUACUACUAUUCCUACGCCUCAUCUUCCCACUAAUUUCUCAUAUUGCUAUUUCCUCCUCGUUUUCUUUUCCCCAUCACUUCUCUAAAGUCUCCGUUCAAGCUUUUCAUCUAUUAGGAUCAACACUCGGCAUUUGCUCCGUUCCCCUUUUUCUUUUUUUUAUUAUCAUUUCCUCUACUCUGCCACUCCCAUUUUCUUUCCUCUGCCCCUUUAACCUCCACCGCCACCACCACCACCACCACCUCCACCACAACCUCCACAACCUCCACCACCUCCACCACAAUCACCUCCACCGCCACGUCAAGUUACCCUCGUCCCUGGGAAGAGUAUGUGUUGUUAUCGCUGAUUUGUAUUUGUUAUUACACGAAUGCACAGAACUGUAUCAUUCCCCUCACUUAUUUCCCUCACUCAUUCCCUCCCUUCCCCUCACCCACACCCACACCCUCGCCUCCCUCCCUCACGCCUUCCUUUAUCCUCGUUCUCCAACUCUUACUAUCACUAACUCUUCCACUUCACUCCGCCAACUUUCAUUCUUUUUCUUCUGCCUCAUAAUCUCUUUUUCUCUUUACACGCCCCCAUCACCAUCCCAAACCUCGCGCCUAACCUUCCCCCCCCCCCUUCACCUCCACAUACACUCUUCAUCCUCCCCACCCCCACCCCCCACCCCGCCCCGAGUGUGACAUUGAGGGGACGUCCCAGGAUGGGUGACCUUAGUACUUUGUUUGUGAUGAAUUAAAGUCAAACAAGAGUAUCUGUGAGUGCGUCCAAACACCUUCACCCCUUCCUCACCCCCUCACCCCACCCCUUGCAAGGUGUGAAAAAUAAACAAAAUCUUUCCUCCUCGUCUUUCCUCUCUCCCCGCCGCCCCUCCCUCCCUCCCUCCCCAUACCCUUUUCCCCACACAAAAAAAACAAGAAAGUAUAUAUUUAAAACGUAUAAACGAGAUUAUCUUUAACCAAAGAGUUUUUAUCUGUUUAUCUAAGAGGAAAGAAAACAAAUACAAAAUAUUAUCAUUCAAAGCUUUUUCGGAAAAGGAAAGAAAAAGGAAAUAUUAUCACUAUGACAUAAAAGAUAUAAAAUGUAACAUAUCCUUCAAGAUCUUUCUCUCUCUCGCGGCAUCACUCCGCCACGCCACAGCCCCGAGCCUUCCCGCCACAGCACCGCACACGCGGGGCCGAGCCGGCGAGGCGGCGGCCCUCACGCACUGAUUCACCACGGGCAGCACGAGCAGUCCAGGAACACCGAGAAGACGAGGGAAAGAGAGAAGAGCGAGAGAUAGAAAGCGAGGGAGAUAGAGAGAGAAAGAGAGGGAGAUGAGCUGUGUCGUCAGCGAUGUCAAAAUUGCAGUCGAGUGUUCCUCCAGCGUGGUUUGGACGAGGCCGCCGCCGCAGGGUGGAAGGUGGAGGCGCUGCCCCGGAGCGGAGGCGGCGGUGGGUGGCCGGCCAGACAGGCAGACAAUCACGGUGCCCAGGAGAGAGAGCAUCAGGUCCCACACGCUUCAUCCCCCUCCCGCCCACUCACUCCACACCUCCCACCGUUUGUUAUGCUCCCAGAUAUAUUUUUAGACCGGUAGAGGCGUCGGAUAAGUCACGUUGAGGGUGAGUGGCCGGCCGGCGCGGCGUGAGGGCCGGCCCUGCCCGGGAAGGCUUGCCAAUCGUACGCACACGAUACAUCUUUCAAUAGGAAUAGAGUUGUGGCAAUUUAUAACUCAAUAUUUUUCCUAAAAGAUGUACUGUAUAAGCUAUAAAAUAUUUUUGAUAGAUUCUUCCAGGAAGAAGCUAUUAUCGCACUAUCCCGUAGACUUGAUUUUAAACGAAGUGUUACUUUUCUGGUCAACAGUUUGAAGUCUUGUGUAUUUUUUAGGCAUUUUAAGGUAUUACUACUCAUUGUAUUAACUCCAUCAUCGACACAAGUCAUGGUAUAACAUGUUUUAUUGUUCUGCGUGUCAGGCAUAUUUAUGAAAUUAUAUUCAGGGGAGAGAAAGCAGUCAUGUUGGGAUGUUGUGCUGAGUUCAGCGUCACUCUUGGUGCUGUCCAGAGCUGCCUCCCGGACCCUGCCCUCAGUGUUGGCGGCUGACCCCCCUCUCCUAUACACCCUGCCCAGCCCAGCCCGCCCCUUGGGGCUCGUCGAGGGUCACCCUUCCCUUCCCUUACCCUCACCACCCUUAGCAUUGUUGUCUUGUGUCGCUGAUUAUCGCCAUCACACUCGUGACACUUCCUCUCUUCGUGUGCUGCUCGGCGGCGGAGGGAAGCACAAGCCAAGACUUGUGGACGGACAGCAGGCAACAGGCAACAAGUAGCAGGUAGGCAGCAGUCAGGCAAGCAGCAAGCAGGCGUAUAGAUUGUCAGGCUUAUUCCUGGGAACAAAGCCUGAAAGUUAAACCGUCACGCCUCGAGGCAGGUGUUCGCAGGAAAGAGUUGAAGCUCGUCACGUAAGAGCGGCGGAGGCUCAGAACAAGUAGCUGCGCCUUCCUCUUUCCUGACGUCAUCAAGUAAAUUUAACCAUCGGUGUGUUGUCCCUCGAGUCCUUCCUUGAACACAGGACGCGCGGCAGUCAUCCCGGACGGCUGGCGCGAGGGUCACCUCAGGCUUCCGGGGCACCAGGACGUGGCAUCAGUCAGAGAGAGACAAGAGGUGCCAAAUUGACACACAGAAGAAUGUUGGCAACUCAGGGACCAUCUCUUCCACCCUUUUGUUUGUUGACUAAAACGCAUGUUAUCAAAUCUGCAUCAUUUCAUCGCCUGGAGUGUGCGGAGCAGCGAGGCGCGCCGGGACGAGUGGGUCAACACAGCAGCUUCUUCAAGACAACUGUGGUUGCCUGCUUGUAACACUCACGUCAUCAGUCUUUCGUUUGCCUCCCAGGCCGCGGCUCGGCCACAAGCACAGCGUUAUGGGCCAUCCUGAUGGGAAGGGAAACUUUACCUAAAAUAUUGUCGUACCUGAGACUUUGGUUCUCGAGUAAUUAACUAUUACAUUAAUGGUGUCCAAGUGUCCCUCAUCGUGAAGGCAGCGUCCAGGGCCGCCCGCCCGCCGGCUGGACACGUCGUCUGAUUGAUAAUCAAAACACGUGAACGAACGAACGAGUGGUGGCCAGCGAUGUGCUCGCCGCCCGCCGCUGUGGUAGAGCGAGUCACGGUGAAUAAUUCAUUCCUUUCUCCAAGUCAUGUCCAAUCACGCACCCUCAUCGUCGCGGCGCUGUUCUCCAUGGACCACCGACCGCCACCUAAACACAACCAUGAUCAAAAGUGACUCGAGGCCGUCCGACAGAAAUAUGUUGUCCAGAGAAACCCUCCUCCGGCGUGGCCACUCCGGCGCCCACUGCUCGUGCGCCUCGGGGGGCAAGAGAAGGGGCACGUGGAGGGAAAGGGAGUCAACUAAAGCCAGUUUGAAGUGGCGUAGGAUGAGGUGUUGUGUCCAGAAGCGUUUUAUUUCCAUCUCCUGUAAUCACCUGCGUGAGACGUGCUGUCGCGGUGCUCCAAAGAGGCGGCGCGGAGAGAGUGUUUGUGUGUGUAUGUGUGUGUGAAAGAGACACAGAGAAAGACAAGAGAGUAGCGAGAAAGAGAUGGAGGGAGGAAUGCAGAAGGGACGCAAGUCGCUCUUUAUCAAAACGCCCGAAGCUUACUGACCAGCCACUGAGUGCCUUACCAAUCUUGUCUUCGCCGGGGGGCCGCAGCCUCAGAUCACGCCCCCUCCCGGCCUAGUCGCAGUAGGGAUGGCUGAGUCUAUUGCUUCGGGCCGCCGCUCCCCUGCCCCCCCUCCACCACCACCGCUCGUUGCCGCCGCGGCCCAAGGCUCCUCCUCAGCCAGAGUCAAAACCUUUUGUUGCCUCAGUCCCUCAAGACCUGUGUUGUGUACGUUUAGUUCGGGAGGCCGGCGUCCCCGCCGCCGCCGCCGCCGUUACCCCCGGCCCCGUCCUCGCGCACCCUGGGAGCCGCCUCGCCGGUGAGCAACAUCCCGCCGGCGACGCAGACGGGGCGGAGGGAGAAAAGGGGCGGGAGGAGCGCGGCCUCCCCUGGGCAGGCACCGAGUAGGGGAAGAUGCCGGGCCGGGGUGGGGGAGUAUCGACCAUUACCUCACAAUCCCCAUCCUCACCAUCCCCUCCGCCCCCCACCCAUCCUGCCUCCUCUUCCUCCCUCGCCUGCCUCCCUUCUCUCCGCCUCCCUCCCCCUCGCCCCCACCCGUGUCUAUUUCAUGUGCAACACGCCAUAAUUUUCCUUAUGAAUCCCUAUUUCCGCAAUGAGUUUGUUUUAUUUCGUCCGUCAAUGGUUUCCUUAUAUAAGAAAAGAAAAUAAGUUCGUUAAUAUAUGAAUAAAAUGUUUAUAUACAGUUACAGAAGCGAGUAUUAUAUAUUCAUCAUCACCCCACACCUUCGCUAUUCCAUUGAAGGUUCACUUGAUCCAAAUAAGCUAGUGGUAUAUUCUUGAGCGAGUGCGUGAGAGAGUGCGUGCAUGCGUGCGUGCGUGGGUUGCCAGUUACUCUAAGCAGUGGCUUCAUAAUGCUAUAUUUUAUACAUCUAAUUCAUUAAAGUAACAGAUACCUUAACAUCACCCUCCUAUCGACCCUUGAGCUUUGGCAGUCUUGGGAUGCUCCACCACCACCACCGCCACCACCACCACUACCACCACCACCACCACUACCACCACCACCACUACCACCACCACCCCCGCCACCACCCCCGCCACCACCCCCACCACCACUACCUACAUUACAACCACCCGCCACUACUUCCAUUUCCACCCCCAACACCACCAACAUCACUUCCACAAGCACAACAUUCACCACCAGCACCACCACCACCUCCUCCAAUACCACCACUCCCCCCCCACACCUCCACCACCACCACACGAGCACUCCCAUCACCACAAUCACCAUCAUCUUCGCCACACCCACAUCUCCUCCACGUCUUCCUUCUCCCCCAUCACCACCACCACCACCACCACGAUCACUGGGCAAACCAUACCAAAACCGCAUCACCACCACUAACACCACCACCACCACCACCAAUAGCUCAUCACGUAGAAGCGCAGCGCAUAUACCGGGGAUUCCAAGACUGCGCAAGACUCUCGACUUCGCUGGGUAUACAUAGUCGAAGUCGCCCACUAGGUCCCUCUCAGUCGUGAUACGUCAUUGUAGCAGCAACGUCAAAGGAAACCAAAGCGUGUGGGUGAAACACAGACCGCGGGCUACCAAUGGGGCUCGGCAGGUCAACGCAUCCUGACGUGGGCACAUUUACCAAACCGCACGCACCAUAUAUAUUCGUACUCACCCUAAGAGGAAAGAAAACAUCAGUAAAUUGAGUUGGGGUGUAAAAGUUUCCUCCUGUCAGAACUAAAGGAAUGGCUGUCAGUCCGUUUCGAUUUGACAACGGUUAGUUUUUAUUCCUCGGCUCGAAAUUUAGUUGAGGUAUGUUUUCUUCCCUGAUGCGUGGACGAAUUGGAAUUGUGCGUACGAGUUGGCGAAUGUCCCCAACUCAAAGUCACGUCGGCGUUCCUUCCUCUCAAACCACGUGUUGUUACCUCAGGCCUAAAGAAAAUUGAAGAAAAGAAGAAAAAAAGACGCUGCCGUGGACAUCCGUUCUUCAAAUCAAAGUAAAAUAAAAAAUAAAAUGAAGUAAAGAAAAAUCGUCUGUUCAGUUGUCGCCCCUCGCGUGGACUUCACUUUUAUUUCUCCCCACGUGCAACCAUUGGCUCUCAACCUCCAAAGCAUCACUACUGUUGUUGUUUGUUUGAUUGUUUUAACUCUCAAAGGUCUCGUGAUGAUUCGGGUCUUCGCUUAUGAUAUAUUUUUCUCCUCCUAUUUCAUCAUUGGCUCACAACCUCUAAAGCAUCAUUACUGUUGUUUCUUCGUCUAUACUUUCAAAACUCUAUGAUGAUUCGGGUCUUCGCUUAUACAUUUUCUCCUCCCGUGCAAAACAUUGGUUCAUAACAUACAAAGCACCUUUACUUGUGUUGGUUUAUCUUUUUUCUCCAAAGUACCGUGAUUAUUUGAGUUUCAGAAUACAUCUUACGCCACCCAAAUAAACACUGGCUCGUAACAUACAAAUCAUCCUUACUUUUGUUUAAAUGUCUUUGAGCUUAAAAGUGCAGUGAUGAUUCGAGUCUUCUAUUAUGAUGUAUUUUACUCCUUCUUUACAACCAUUGGCUUACAACAUACAAAUCGCCAUUACUUCUGUUUGCCUUCUUAUUCAAAAGCACCACAAAGAUUAGGGACUUGGCUUACGUUCCCGGCCCUCUAAGCCUCUCGUCGGGGUUCAGGUGUCCGUCAUCGCUUGUGUUCUGGUGUACAGACGACAGUGGAGUAUACGAGGGUUGUAAUCUGACUCAAUUCAAAAUGUCUCACCGUAAUCUCCUUCAUUUCCAUUUUGUGUUACUGAGGUGUUAAGAAAAGCAGAAACUAUAUACCUACUUACCUACCUACCUACCUACCUAGGGCUCAAGUGAUCAAGGACAUUUUUUAGCAUAAAGCGCAGAUAAAUCCUUCCGAAAUACUAUAUAUUAAUGUUCCGAAAGACUCAUUGUACACAUCCUCAGUUACUAUACUAUCAUGUCCUGAAGAAGAACAACUAACUUUCCUAGUCGAUGAAAGUGACACAUAACGCACAGUGUAUCUCUGGUUAAACCGAGCUCAGUCUCACUCACCCCACGGCCCCCACAGAACACCCCUGCCUCGAACGCGCCCCCGGGACCCCCUUUACUGCUUCGGGGGGCUUAAGGUCACCCCACAGACACCCCCAAACACCAUUAUGCUUGCUGUGGAGGCUUACGUUACCCAACAGUACUUAACCCGAAACAAUCUUCGCCUUGCUGUGGGUGCUUAUGUCACCCCACAGUACCUUUAAACACCACAGACAUUCUUCACUCUGCUGUGGAGGUUAGGUUACCCCACAACAUCUUAGACACCCCAAGACACUUCAUACUGCUGUGGGAGGCUAAGAUCACCCCACAGCCCUUACACACACCCUUUGGACUCUCUUCACCUUGCUGUGGGAAGCUUAACUCACCCACACAACUCGAGACACUCACAGACCACAAAGAAUAUCCUCGUCUCUCUACAGCAUCUUAAGACAACCAAAGACACUUCACCCUGCUGUGGGAGGCUCAGGUUUCCCCACAGCACUCUAAGACACUCUCAGACCUUGCUAGGGGGACCCAGAUCGCCCCAAAGCACCUUUAAAACCCCAACCACACGUUUCACCCCGUUUUGAGGAGUUUAGUUCACCCCCACAGUACUCUUUCAGAUACCCACACACACCUCUCAGCCUAGGUCCCCCACAGCACCCUUAGACACCCCCAGAAAACCAUUAAACACCCCAAGACACACCUUUCACCCUGCUUUUGGGAGUUAGGUUCACCCCACAGUACUCUUUAUGACCCCCAGACACCAACAGACACUCCUCACCCUAGGCCCCCCACGGCACCCUCAAGGCAUCCCCAGGGCGUGUGUGACGGAGGGGGACGUUUUGUUGGGGCCCCGGGGACUUGUUACCCUCCCCCCCCUGUUACCUGACUGUGGGACCCACUUGUGGCAUCACCAGCUCUGUCUUGUAACAUACCCAUGACAUUUGUUUUGUACGUACAUAUAGAUCUGUACAUAGAACAAAUAUAAAUGUUGUUGAUAGGACAGUUGAGAAAUAAAGAGAAUUUUAACAGAUUAA